rnacentral:rRNA from 1 species
CAAUAGCGUAUGUUAAAGUUGUUGCGGCUAAAAAGCUCGUAGUUGGAUUUCUGUUGAGGACAUCUGGUCCGCUCUAUGAGCGUGUAUCUAGUUUGGCCUCGGCAUCCGCUCUGCAUACGUUUCUGCGCUUGAUUGCGUGGAGCGGAGGUAGGGCCUUUUACUUUGAGGAAAUUAGAGUGUUCACGGCAGGCAGUCGCCCUGAAUAUAUUAGCAUGGAAUAAUAACAUAGGAUCUUGGUUCUAUUUUGUUGGUUUCUAGGACUAAGAUAAUGAUUAAUAGGGACAAUUAGGGGCGAUUCGUAUUGUCGGUGGUCAGAGGUGGGAAAGUUACUUUGGUAGUUAA